rnacentral:rRNA from 1 species
GAUGAACGCUGGCGGCGUGCAUAACACAUGCAAGUCGAACGAAGUGGCGAACGGGUGAGUAACACGUGAGUCACCUGCCUUACACAAGGGGAUGGCCUUUGGAAACGAAGAAUAAUACCCUAUAGUGUAAGCUGGACUUGCGUCUGAUUAGCUAGUUGGUGAGAUAAAGGCCCACCAAGGCAACGAUCAGUAGCAGGCAUGAGAGAGGGUACGGGCACAUUGCGACCGCGACACGGCCCAAAAUCUACGGGAGGCAGCAGUGGGGAAUUUUGCACAAUGGGGGAAACUCUGAUGCAGCGACGCGGCGUGACGAAGAAGGCUUUCGAGUAGUAAAGUUCUUUUAUAUGGGAAGCGGUACCAUAAGAAAAAGCCCCGGCUAACUACGUGCCAGCAGCCGCGGUAAUUC